rnacentral:rRNA from 1 species
CCUACGGGUGGCUGCAGUGAGGAAUAUUGGUCAAUGGACGAGAGUCUGAACCAGCCAAGUAGCGUGAAGGAUGACUGCCCUAUGGGUUGUAAACUUCUUUUAUAUGGGAAUAAAACGUUCCACGAGCGGGAUUUUGUAUGUACCAUAUGAAUAAGGAUCGGCUAACUCCGUGCCAGCAGCCGCGGUAAUACGGAGGAUCCGAGCGUUAUCCGGAUUUAUUGGGUGUAAAGGGAGCGUAGGUGGAUUGUUAAGUCAGUUGUGAAAGUUUGCGGCUCAACCGUAAAAUUGCAGUUGAAACUGGCAGUCUUGAGUACAGUAGAGGUGAGCGGAAUUCGUGGUGUAGCGGUGAAAUGCUUAGAUAUCACGAAGAACUCCGAGUGCGAAGGCAGUUCACUGGACUGCAACUGACACUGAGGCUCGAAAGUGUGGGUAUCAAACAGGAUUAGAUACCCUUGUAGUC